rnacentral:rRNA from 1 species
ACAUGUCUCGUAUGGUUUCCAGAGAUGGAUUCCUUCAGUUCGGCUGGCGAGAACACAGGUGUUGCAUGGCUGUCGUCAGCUCGUGUCGUGAGAUGUUGGGUUAAGUCCCGCAACGAGCGCAACCCUCGCCUUUAGUUGCCAUCAUUUAGUUGGGCACUCUAGAGGGACUGCCGGUGAUAAGCCGGAGGAAGGUGGGGAUGACGUCAAGUCCUCAUGGCCCUUACGGGUUGGGCUACACACGUGCUACAAUGGCGGCGACAAUGGGCAGCGAAGGGGCGACCCGGUGCAAAUCCCAAAAAGCCGUCUCAGUUCGGAUUGUACUCUGCAACUCGAGUGCAUGAAGGUGGAAUCGCUAGUAAUCGCGUAACAGCAUGACGCGGUGAAUACGUUCCCGGGCCUUGUACACACCGCCCGUCACACCAUGGGAGUUGGUUUUACCCGAAGCUGGUGCGCUAACCGCAAGGAGGCAGCCAACCACGGUAAGGUCAGCGACUGGGGUGAAGUCGUAACAAGGUAGCCCUAGGGGAACCUGGGGCUGGAUCACCUCCGUAAGCUUGGAUCCCGGG